UACCAAUUGAAACAGCUGUCCACCAACA
rnacentral:sRNA from 1 species